UUUUUUUAAGUUUCGUUUUCUAAUUUGAGUGAUAUUCAACCGAGAAAUGAAAGAAAUGAUGAUAUAUUUGAGAACUAAAUGAAUUAUCAGAAAUGUUCAAAAAACGAUGAUAAUGGAGAGAAUUAUCAGAGGCUGAGUUUGAUUAACAAGGUUCUUAUCUGCAUUUGAAAUGAAUUGGGUUUGGAUUUUUAUUCCAAGUGAAAAAAUCAUAAAAUUGCAAAUCAUUUGAAUUCCACAUACCCUUAAAGAAUUUUCGUGCUGGGUUCUUUUUUUAUUAUUAUUUUCUUUCCUUUUUCUCUAAAGCUGGAGACCGUAUCCCCAUUGAAGAACUAGACGAGAAUGUGGUGGCA
rnacentral:misc_RNA from 1 species